UUUAAGCUAUUUAAACCUACUUACUGCAAUAUUUCGGGUUUUAUGUAAUCGAGAGCGUCCUAUUAUCGGACCCUAGCAACUUGUUAAUCAGGUUGGUUGCCAAUUUCCCUAGCGCCUCCUUUCAUUAAAUCGGUGUACAGUCAGUUUGAUGCAACAACACAACAAUUGAAGAUGGUGAGAAGGAACAUCCUUAGCCGCUGCAAACAGACCCUAAAUGACUGCACUCGGCUUCUGCUCUCCGAUAAUCCUGGACUUGAUGCCCUUCAGUCCACGUUAAUCAAGCCAGUUCCGGUACCGGGCUCCUCGGACUUGGAGAGGAGCUAGAGGUGCACCUUGUUAUGCCAUCACUCAAGAGCAACUUUGCUUUCAGUGUGUCUCAGAUGGCAGAUAUUCUACAUGUGUCCCGAUCGACAGUCAAACGUCGUCUAAGACACUUCAAUCUGUCACAUGCACCGUUAUAUUCUGACAUGUCAGACUUGGCUUUGGAUGAAAAGAUUGAGGACUUGGUGGCUUGGAACGACAAACUUGGACCGGAGGAUGUUCGAGCACAAUUAAGGGCUCCGGGUGCAGAGAUGCAGAGCGAGGGCUGCCCUCAGAGACAUGUCGCAGAGGCUGCAUAGGAGGUCAUGCCGUGUUGCUGGACCAAACUCGUUAUGGCAUCUUGAUGGAAACAACAAACUGAUAAGGAAGAUGUAUUUUUCUGCUAGACACAAUUAUCCACAUCACUGGUGAGAAGUUGUACAUUGUAACAUCUCAAAUUCUUCAUCCUCAACUUGUUCAUCAACUACUAACAGUUCAGUAAGCAAUGGCCCUUGAUUCCAUAUGUCACUCAUGUGUAUAAUAACUGUUUUAUUGUGUUUCUGCUACUUCUGUGAUUGAUAGAACAUCUGCAUCAUGAAAUUAACAAACAUGCUUAUAUUGAGGACAUAUGGAGGCAAAAACAAUUGGAGCAAAGUAUUUGUGCCUAAGUGUGAACCACAGGAGAGUCUGUCCUCUUGACUCAUCAAGAUAAACGUGGUUAUUUUUCCAAUUGAAGUAGAUAUUGUUAUUAUACAUCUUCCACUGUUUCCUACCCUUGUUGUAGCCUUUAGAGGGCUAACGGAAGUACUUAUUGUUGUGAUCCGCGGUAGAUUGUUCAUUAACAUUGUUCCACAUUUGGAUGUUAAUUUAAUAUUUGGUCUGCUGCUUUGUUAUAUACUGCAGGAACCUGAUGCAGCAUCUAAGUGGUAAAGUAGGAUGGUGAUGUUUGUAUAUUUAAUGUGUCUUCAGCUUCUGUAUCAACCAGUGCUGUAUUUUCUGAUUUAGGUGGAGGAUAGUCAUACAUGGUGGCAUUGAUGGGUACAGCCACCUCAUUGUGUUUCUCUGUGCUUCCAGCAACAAUCGCAGCAGUACUGUAAUGGAUUGCUUCAUGUCACGGAUCCCUCAGGAACUGUGUCAUUACGCACACCUGGUCACCAUUCCCACUGAUUGUAAUUGUAUAAAUGUGCCCUUUGGUUCACCAUUGGGCUGUCGAUGAUUGUUACUAUGUCCAUUGCCGUGUAUGAGUACUUGUGUUUUGGCCUUUUGUGCCCUUGUGGAUUGCACAGAUGAUUACGGGUCUCAUCCACUGUGUUAAUCAUUGUGCGCAUGUGUUAUUUAUUCAAGGUACUCCUCGCUCUUUUGUUUGGGUUUCAACCCUGUGUUUUUGUUACGUGUUUGUUUGGUCUUCGUCCCCGUGCCUUUACACGGCAUGCCAUAAUUUGGGCUUAAUAAAAGAACAUUAGGCAUUCCUGCACAUGUCUCCCAAAUCCAUUCAUACCAACGUGACACAUGAAUGCUGUCUCCAGAUAUGGUGUUCCCUCCAGAGUUAGGACGGACCAUAGAGGAGAAAACAGCACUGUCUGCUUUCUCCAAUAAGACAUAUUGAAAAUAUGAUUUAAAAAAAGAGAGCUACAUGCAUCCUUGAAAUGUCUUCUUGACCUACACAUCGAUUACAUUCUAUAGUGAGUGAUGCAUGUAGCUACAUGUUUUUCUGUAAAUCAUUUUCAGAACGCAAUCACCUCAUGUUUGACAGCUUUAUUGCUUUCUCCAUGUUUUUGAAAUGUAUAAGCCUUUAAAUGACCUUUUACCGACUACUUCUACAAACAAGGCUACACUUGUGGCAGAACCUAUUCCUGUGCCCCCCCCACAUCUUCUGCACCACUUCCUGUGGCCCCCAUCCACCAUUCCCUGAGGCUUGUCAUCCAACUUCACCCCCCUCUUCUGUUGAUGUUGGUGAUGACAAUGAGUACGUCAUCCCUGUAAAUAAUUCAAUGCCUUAUUACAGAUGAAUUGUGGGAA